UUCCGACCCGCACGAAAGGCGUAACGAUUUGGGCACUGUCUCAACGAGAGACUCGGUGAAAUCAUAGUACCUGUGAAGAUGCAGGUUACCCGCGACAGGACGGAAAGACCCCGUGGAGCUUUACUGUAGCCUGAUAUUGAAAUUCGGCACAGCUUGUACAGGAUAGGUAGGAGCCUUUGAAACGUGAGCGCUAGCUUACGUGGAGGCGCUGGUGGGAUACUACCCUAGCUGUGUUGGCUUUCUAACCCGCACCACUUAUCGUGGUGGGAGACAGUGUCAGGCGGGCAGUUUGACUGGGGCGGUCGCCUCCUAAAAGGUAACGGAGGCGCUCAAAGGUUCCCUCAGAAUGGUUGGAAAUCAUUCAUAGAGUGUAAAGGCAUAAGGGAGCUUGACUGCGAGACCUACAAGUCGAGCAGGGUCGAAAGACGGACUUAGUGAUCCGGUGGUUCCGCAUGGAAGGGCCAUCGCUCAACGGAUAAAAGCUACC
rnacentral:rRNA from 1 species